rnacentral:rRNA from 1 species
UUGAUACUGUCAGGAUUAGAGGUUUAUUUGGACGUAGGCCGGAAUGUUAGCAUGUAGCGGUGAAAUGCUUAGAGAUGCUACAGAACACGGAUAGCGAAGGCAGCUUACGAAGAUAUAACUGACGCUCAUGCACGAAAGCGUGGGGAUCAAACAGGAUUAGAUACCCUGGUAGUCCACGCUGUAAACGAUGAUAACUGGCUUUUGGCGAUACACAGUCAGAGGCUGAGAGAAAUCAAUAAGUUAUCCACCUGGGGAGUACGACGGCAACGUUGAAACUCAAAGGAAUUGACGGGGGCCCGCACAAGCGGAGGAGCAUGUGGUUUAAUUCGAUGAUACGCGAGGAACCUUACCCGGGCUUAAAUUGCAGAUGCUGUAUGUUGAAAGGCAUAUUUCUACGGACAUCUGUGAAGGUGCUGCAUGGUUGUCGUCAGCUCGUGCCGUGAGGUGUCGGGUUAAGUCCCAUAACGAGCGCAA